rnacentral:rRNA from 1 species
UACGGGGGGGGCAAGCGUUGUUCGGAAUUACUGGGCGUAAAGGGCUCGUAGGCGGCCAACUAAGUCAGACGUGAAAUCCCUCGGCUUAACCGGGGAACUGCAUCUGAUACUGGAUGGCUUGAGUUCGGGAGAGGGAUGCGGAAUUCCAGGUGUAGCGGUGAAAUGCGUAGAUAUCUGGAGGAACACCGGUGGCGAAGGCGGCGAGCUGGCCUGUACCUGACGCUGAGGCGCGACAGCGUGGGGAGCAAACAGG